CACGUAGGCGGAUUGGUAAGUUGGGGUGAAAUCCCGGGGCUCAACCCUGGAACUGCCUUUGAUACUGGCGAUCUUGAGUAUGAGAGAGGUAUGUGGAACUCCGAGUGUAGAGGUGAAAUUCGUAGAUAUUCGGAAGAACACCAGUGGCGAAGGCGACAUACUGGCUCAUUACUGACGCUGAGGCGCGAAAGCGUGGGGAGCAAACA
rnacentral:rRNA from 1 species